AGCCUCCAAUGCGGAGAGGAGCCAAGAUGGCGGAGGAGUAGGACGGGGAGAACACUUUCUCCCCCACAAAUUCAUCAAAAGAGCAUUUAAACGUCGAGUAAAUUCCACAAAACAACUUCUGAAUGCCGGCAGAGGACAUCAGGCACCCAGAAAAGCAACCCAACUCUUCGAAAGGAGCCCUCUAUCUAUGACCUCACUAGGUCAGUAAAAGCCAUUCUGAAUCUCCAGAUAAGUAAACGCACCACGUCACUCUAUCAUGAAAAAAAAUAAACAGAAUAAGACUGGAGAUAACAAAGAAACAAACGGUAAUCACCUCCUGUUGAACUUGGUCCUCCUGGGACUCACUCACAACCCACAAAACGAGGCAGAUUGGACCCUGAAGGUCUUUGAAAGCCAAAUUAGAAAAAAGCCUUGCAAACUCUGCUUUGGUCUGUUGGAGCACUCGCUGUGGGGGAAGUAAGCUGCCAAGUAAAAAAUGGAACUACCCAGAGACCAUCACACUGUGGAAGCAGAGCUGGCCACAUGCUGAAGCUGCUGGAGAGAGAGACAUGCAACCAGCCCUCAGGUGUUCCAGCUCAGAGCCAAACACGUGGGCUAUGAAGCCUUCGGAUGCCCCAGCCUCGGUAUCCGUCUGCCUGCAACCACCUAGAGGACCUCAACAACAACAAAAAUUACCCGGCUGAGCCCAUCAACCCCUAGAAUGGAGAGAGACCAUGAUAAAUCACUGUUGUAAACCACUCAGUUUUGGACUGGUUUUUACACUGCAAUGCAUAAACAAUGAUUAUGCAAGUACUCUAUUUGGCUUUUUCUCAAUG
ensembl:lncRNA